rnacentral:rRNA from 1 species
UGGGGAAUAUUGGGCAAUGGGCGCAAGCCUGACCCAGCGACGCCGCGUGGGUGAUGAAGGCCUUCGGGUUGUAAAGCCCUGUCAUGUGGAAAGAACAGUCCCGUGGUGAAUAUCCACGGGAUUUGACGGUACCACAGGAGGAAGCACCGGCUAACUCCGUGCCACCAGCCGCGGUAAUACGGAGGGUGCAAGCGUUGUUCGGAAUUAUUGGGCGUAAGGGGCGCGUAGGCGGUUGUGAAAGUCAGAUGUGAAAUACUUCGGCUCAACUAAAGAAUUGCACCUGAAAUUUAAUAACUGGAUUACAGGAAGGGAAACGGAAUUCCCGGUGUAGAGGUGAAAUUCGUAGAUAUCGGGAGGAACACCAGUGGCGAAGGCGGUUUCCUGGCCUGAUACUGACGCUGAGGCGCGAAAGCGUGGGGAGCAAACAGG